rnacentral:tRNA from 1 species
GUUUCUAUGGUGUAGUAUUUGCACAUUAGAUUUUCGUUCUAAAGGUAUAAGAUUGACUUAUUAGAAAUA